AUGAAAAGAGGGGUACCUUUCCCAGUCAGAGGCAUCAGAGAAGGCUUCCUGGUGGAGAACACGUGUAAUGGACUUAUGGACUCAUUCACUGCAUCCAUCUUGGACACUGCCCAGCUUCAUGUUCCACUCUCCCAUUUAUCCCAAAUUUCUGAGGAUUUCCUGGCUAAGAACCAUCACUUUCCAGAGCUCAUUAUUUUCUGUUAUUUGACUCAGCAGCACAAGCAGCUGUCCUUUAAAAAACAGUAUUUUCACCAAGAAAUAAAGUGUUUUCUAUUCCAGAAGAGUUCUUUUAUGCACGUAGGUGAACAGACAGUGCAGAGCCAUACUGAGGUGUGUGUGCCUUGUUGUCACUGCCUCUCCUCUGGGAGGAACACUAGGCUCCUGUACGCCAGGCUUCCCACAGCCCAGGAGGAACACAUCCACGCCUUGCCAGUCAUUUGCAUCUUAGUAAGACUAAAACUAAUAAAACUAGUAAUAAAGCUAAAAAUAUAUUGAAGGAUUACAGUAUGCCAAACAUAUAUGUAUUGUGUUAUUUGGCCCUCACAAUCGCCUUUUGAGCUAGGCACCAGCACCUCCUUUAAGGGCUCAAGAAGCUGAGGUGUCAAGAUUUUAAGUCAUUUGCUGAAGGUCACACAGCUAGAAAGUGUAGUGGAAGAGUCAGUCCCCCAUUUGUCCAAUGCAGUACCGUCGUCCAAGUGUGAAGAGGGAUGUGCGGGUCUGAGAACAAAGUUAGCUUGCUUAAUACUUUGUCCAAGGUCAGCCCUGGCUCCAAGCCCAAGAAACAAGGCAGGAUCAGCAGCCACAAGAUCCAACAGUCAGCCAGGCUCCCAUACUGCAGGACUCUCUAUCACAGCCCAGAUCUGCAUAUGGGCAAAUGAAAGCUAGCAGCGGAGUACCCAGGCUACCUCUGCACAGGGAGUGACUGCGGAACUUCAGGAACAAAAGAGAGGCAAAAGAUGUGGGGUGGCCUGGCUGGGAGGGACUAGGGAACAGGGACACCUUGCAGAUAACUCUCAGGACUGAGGAGUAAAUAUCUUUUAUUAAACAAAGCUUGUAAUUCUGACUCUAAGCCUGGCGUUCCUAACAAUGGCAGGCACUGAUGGCUGUAAAAGGCACUAAUCAGACACAGUAGAUUCGUGUUUACACUGGGAAGGGCUGCUGAUCCUGCAUAGGCCUUUGAAGCCACCCGUGCUCACACAGAUUGUAAUGCACUAUGAAGUAAUGUCUUCAAAUAAAAGGGAGGAGUUGAAAUAGACCUGUCUAGCCAGUUAUUUCUCUAAGGCACUUCAAAGAAGCAUUUUCUUUGAUCAUUUUGACUUUCCAUCUAUAAGAAAUGUGAACAUAUUACUCAUAGAAAUUACUCAGAGACCUCAGACUGAUGGGGGCUUCAGUUUGACCCAUCGCCAGUGAAAUGGGAAGGAUAAGAUAGGGAAGGGCACACUCGUUCUUAAAACUUUCACCACGAAGUGACCCACAUCCUCCGCUCCCUCACAUUUCACUGGCCAAAGCAAGUCACCUGGCUCAUCCAACUUCAAGGGGAUCAGAGAAGGACUAUCCUGCCAUGUGCUGAGGAGGGUGGGCAGAUACCCAUGACCCCUGGUAAACAGCACUGAUGACUAACACAAAGGCCAAGUGACAAGGAGGUGUUUUUAGGAGGUCAAAUGAAGGAGUAUAUCUUUCAAGAAAAUAAGGCACUAAUGAGUUUUGUUACAUCUCCACAGUAAUUUCUAAAAUGGAAUUCCCCCAUGAAGGUCUUUAAUAGGAGCAUUAUAAUAGUUUAAGAAAACAAAGUGUCCUGAUUUGACUAAAUUAUCAAGGAAAAAUGUGGAAAUUACAAAACUAGGACCAAAGCAAUUUUCCCACGUGUAACUGGAGGAUGAAACAAUCCAUCUGUCAUUCUGGAUUGUUGGUGGGAAAAUCCACUGUAGAACUCUACAAAGGAAAACUACCAAAACUCGGAUGGCACCUUUAACCUUUUCUCCCUGGAAAUUGCCUAUUAUCUUGCUUUUUCUCGCAGCAAUUUCAACGCAUUUUACUGUGUAUCACCAAAUCUGGAGCUUUGGGUAACCUGACAAUUACUAUUUAUGUUUCUCUCACGUGUUACUUCAUUCAACAAACAUUUAUUUUGAGGAUCUACUACACUCAGCAUUCUUCUCUAGACACUAGGGAUACAAAGAUAAAACAUGGUCCUACCUGUAAGGUACUCAUUAGCAAAUUUAGUUGGGGGAAGGAAGAACAUGAAUCAGAAAAUUACAGAAUAUUGCAAAAGUACAGGCUGGUCUCAAGGUAAUGAGAUAUCUCAAUUGAUUUUUCAGUCAGUUGCAGAUCGAAUUCUUUGUCCUACUCUUCCCUUCUCAUUACUAUACUUGACUAGACUUUAAGAAUAAAAAAAGGCCAAGCUCGGUGGCUCACGCCUAUAAUCCCAGCACUUUGGGAGGCUGAGGUGGGCGGAUCACCUGAGGUCAGGAGUUCCAGACCAGCCCGGCCAACGUGGCGAAACCCCAUCUCUACUAAAAAUACAAAAAAGGCCGGGCGCAGUGGCUCACGCCUGUAAUCCCCCAGCACUUUGGGAGGCCGAGACGGGCGGAUCACGAGGUCAAGAGAUCGAGACCAUCCUGGUUAACACGGUGAAACCCUGUCUCUACUAAAAAUACAAAAAAAAUUAGCCGGGCAUGGUGGCGGGCGCCUGUAGUCCCAGCUACUUGGAAGGCUGAGGCAGGAGAAUGGCAUGAACCCGAGGCGGAGCUUGCAGUGAGCCGAGAUUGCGCCACUGAACUCCAGCCUGGGUGACAGAGCAAGACUCCGUCUCAAAAAAAACAAAAAAACAAAAAAUACAAAAAAAAAAAAAAAUUAGCUAGGCAUGGUGGUGGGCACCUGUAAUCUGAGCUACUCAGGAGGCUGAGGCAGGAGAAUUGCUUGAAUCUGGGAGGUGGAGGUUGCAGUAAGCCCAGAAUGAACCUCUGCACUCCAGCCUGGGUGACAGAGUGAGACUCUGUCUCAUAAAAAAAAGAAAAAGAAAAAAAGUGCCCGAUAUUAUGGGAGAGCUGAAAUGAUAUUUAUAAGGACAUCACCUUCCUUGCAAGGGAGUAGUGUCCCUGUAGGGCCCACUCAGUACACAGGGACAUGGCUUGGGGCAGUGCAGGUGUGCAUUGCACAAUAUCAAGGCACACUCAUCCCCUUACAGGCGUCUUAGAUUUAUGCAGAUGUCAGUUAGGUAUCCUGAACCAUGAGUACUCCUAUCUGUGCCACUAUUUGAACUAUGAACAGGAUAGCCAGCAGCUAACCAACCUUAGUUCUCUGAAAUAUGUUCAUCAUACGCUUACCCUUAUUUGUAUUAGUAUGAUAUAAUGAUAAUCUCUAACUUGCUGAACAAUUUUUUUUCAAUAAUCAUCGAUUAUACAUCUAGUCUGACUAAGACUGUUCUAACCACAUUGGAAGUCCUAGAUAAAGAUAUGCCACAGUCCUUGACCUCAAAAAUCUUUAAAACUAGAUGAGGAAGAGAGACAAAAGCACAUAAAUCAAUUUGAGGCUAAUUAAAUGCUAACUUGUGUAACAUUCAGUUUAAAUACAAUCUGAGUUAUGAAGACCAAGAGAUCAGCCUUAGAUGGGAUUUCAUC
ensembl:lncRNA